GAGACCCUGGUAGACGCUGGUCACGUGAUAUGCUAACAUCUGGCAGAUUUUUAAUUAGCCUAGAUGCGGUUAAUAAAUAUUUGAUAUUGGGAUGAUUUUUCUAGUUUAAUUUAUAAUGUGCAUUUUGUAUGAUUUUCGUAAAGGAAACAAAGAUUUAGAAAUCCGCUAGAUUUUAGCAGAUCACGUGACCAGCGUCUACCAGGGUCUU